rnacentral:lncRNA from 1 species
UCACUGCCAACUAGAUAGCAUGGUAAAUAACUGCAUUAGAUCUGAUUAUAUGCUAUUGUUGUCGUGUUCCGGAAUAAAUCAAGCUACCAUAUGUAGAGAUGAAAGAGAUUGCUUUCUCCAUAUGAGAAUCAUUUCUUUCCAAGGGAAAGUUUAAAAAAGAAAAGCAUUUUUCAGGAGGUUAAACUAUGGGCUCCCAUUUGGCCUCAAAAA